AUGUCACUUUGGUGAGCCUACCUCAGAAUGGAGGUCUAGGGAUUAUAUGGUAGUGUGUGUGUGUGUGUGUGUGUGUGUGUGUGAGAGAGAGAGAGAGAGAGAGAGACAGAGAGAGAGACAGAGAGAGACAGAGAGAGACAGAGAGAGACAGAGAGAGAGAGACAGAGAGAGACAGAGAGAGACAGAGAGAGACAGAGACAGAGACAGGCAGAGAGAGAGAGAGAAACAGAGAGACAGAAUCAGACAGGCAGACAGACAGAGACAGACAAAGACAGACAGUGGCAGACAGGCAAAAACAGAGAGACUGGGGCAGAGAGACACAGAGAUAGAGAGACACAGAGGCCGAGAGAGAAAUAGAAGAAAGUAAGGCAAAGGGUCAAGAGAUCCUGCCUGACACUAGGGCCUUUGCGGGAGCUGCAGAGAAGCAUUCUGGGUAUACAAACAACCACUCUGACGUCAUGUGAAGACUGACAAUGAGACACUUAACGUAUAGGAGAAAAACGGAAGCCUGAAGUUGGAUAAUUUGUCUGAAGAUGUUGGUGGAUUCCAAGAGAUAAAAAGAUUGAAUGACGAAGCUGAGGAAAGCAGGUUUAAUGGAAGGCUAACAAAGCCGAGGUGAAUGAUAGGAGGCUAGAAACAAGGGAGUGCAUGGCCACGAGUGAUGUCCUCUGAACGCCUCAGCAUUCAGACCAACCGUGUUUAGCUGGUUCUCAGAUACACAAGAUCCUGAACAGGCACGAUGUUUGGUUUCUCCCAUUCCCUUCCUUCUGUAUUAGUCCUCCAGAUACAAAAACUAAAACUAAGACUAACUUCAGUGAUAAAGGGAAUUUUCUGGCUCAAGUCAUCAAGAAGCCUAAGAAGUUAACUGACUUGGGGCUUGGCCAGAUCCAGAUGUUCAAAGUGUAACAGAAAACUGUCCCUCUGGGUUGCAUAAACUCCCAAUUUUAUUUGUUUGACAAGAGGGUUUUGUUUUGUUUUUUGUUUCCAUCUGACAUCAUGGAUGAUCACUGGUUAUCCCCAGGUUGUGACACUCCUAAAGAAAUAGAGAAACAGAGAACUGUCUUUCUUCAGCGACUGUUCUACUUACCAGAUCCUGAAGAAGAUUCUGCUGGGCUGCAUGUCCAUCGUUCUGGUUCCAGGGGAAUGACCUGUCCAGUUGAUCAAUUGGAGACAUGUGCUCAGGCUAUGGAGUAUAGCCUGAAGCCAUUUUUCAACUGGAAGACUGACAAACAGCUCUCUUACUAGAACAGUUUUCUAAACUCUUCAACUCAAUUGUUUUCACAUCUACGGAGUCUGGUAUAGAUUCUGUUUGGGAAAGGAGUUUGGCAUCAUCAUGGACAUCAUGGACAGGUUGGCGAUCAUCCUUUCAGAACUCUCUGCCCUCCAUGGUAGUUGAUGGUGAUCCACCUAGAUGUUGCAAUCUGGAUUUAAAUGAGUAAGGGUGGAAUCUCAAACUGACAAGGAAGUUCUCAUCCAGAUGUCUAGCUUUCAUGGUGCUGGAAGAUGCUAUGCAGCCUGCUGAGGGAGGAAACCCAUCAGUGAUCUUAGCCUUACCAACCUGCCAGGAAAGAUGUGCCUACUGGAGUAUUAGUGGGAUAAAGGCUAUCAGGGUAACCACAGGCUUGCUGAUUGGAUUUGAGAUCUGCUCCAAAGGGAAGGAUUUAGUAUGGGUACUGUAAAGCCAUGACAAAAACAAAAACAAAACAAAAUGAAACAGCAAACAACAACAAAAACAUGACUCAGAGACUCAUAGGUACCAGAUAGAAACUUCCUGGUGUUUCACUAAUGGUCAUGUUGACAAACUAUAUUCUCCAUAUUUAUAUUUAUACUCAAAGAUUUGUCUGAUCUCAAACUUGGUCAGAGGGUAAUGGUUCAUGCAGAUAAGUCAUACCUGGUCAAACCCUAAGAGCAAGUGACCGUGAGUGCUCAGCCACAGAUGCAUCUUCUGUAUUAAUCACACGACUUACACAAAAUCAAGUCAAUCAAAAUCCCAGUAUGUAUGGAGAAGGAGGUCCCAAGGUCUCACUGUUAUGGGAAGAGUUCUUGGUGGUUUAUAGCUGUGGGGGAGGGAGAAUCAUUGUUCUUUGGGAGUGUGGCUGCUAGCAGGUUCUAUGCCCAUGCACAAGUGGUCUAAAUAAACUAGCUGGACUCUAGUUAAUAGCAACAGUGAUAAUUAUAGACAUGAAGUCCCUGUGAGAGCUAGACAGAGUAGUGGGGGGUUGCAUGUGAUUAAAAUAUGUUAUUAUUUUUUUCAGAGAAUAAAUGAAAAAUUAUUUCUCAA
rnacentral:lncRNA from 1 species